GGUUAAGUUAAUAAGGGCGCACGGUGGAUGCCUUGGCACUAGAAGCCGAAGAAGGACGUGACAAACGACGAAAUGCUUUGGGGAGCUGUAAGUAAGCGCUGAUCCAGAGAUGUCCGAAUGGGGGAACCCACUAACUAAUGGUUAGUAUCCAUAACUGUUAAGGUUAUGAGAAGGAAGACGCAGUGAACUGAAACAUCUAAGUAGCUGCAGGAAGAGAAAGCAAACGCGAUUGCCUUAGUAGCGGCGAGCGAAACGGCAGGAGGGCAAACCGAAGUGUUUACACUUCGGGGUUGUAGGACUGCGACGUGGGACUUUAAAAGGAUAGAAGAAUUACCUGGGAAGGUAAGCCAAAGAGAGUAAAAGCCUCGUAUUUAAAAUUCUUUUGAGCCCUAGCAGUAUCCUGAGUACGGCGAGACACGUGAAAUCUCGUUGGAAUCUGGGAGGACCAUCUCCCAACCCUAAAUACUCUCUAGUGACCGAUAGUGAACCAGUACCGUGAGGGAAAGGUGAAAAGCACCCCGGGAGGGGAGUGAAAUAGAACCUGAAACCGUGUGCCUACAACAAGUUCGAGCCCGUUAAUGGGUGAGAGCGUGCCUUUUGUAGAAUGAACCGGCGAGUUACGAUAUGAUGCGAGGUUAAGUUGAAGAGACGGAGCCGUAGGGAAACCGAGUCUUAAUAGGGCGAUUUAGUAUCAUGUUGUAGACCCGAAACCAUGUGACCUACCCAUGAGCAGGUUGAAGGUGAGGUAAAACUCACUGGAGGACCGAACCAGGGCACGUUGAAAAGUGCUUGGAUGACUUGUGGGUAGCGGAGAAAUUCCAAACGAACUUGGAGAUAGCUGGUUCUCUCCGAAAUAGCUUUAGGGCUAGCGUCGAUGUUAAGUCUCUUGGAGGUAGAGCACUGUUUGGGUGAGGGGUCCAUCUCGGAUUACCAAUCUCAGAUAAACUCCGAAUGCCAACGAGAUAUCAUCGGCAGUCAGACUGCGAGUGCUAAGAUCCGUAGUCGAAAGGGAAACAGCCCAGACCACCAGCUAAGGUCCCAAAAUAACUGUUAAGUGGAAAAGGAUGUGGGGUUGCACAGACAACUAGGAUGUUAGCUUAGAAGCAGCUAUUCAUUCAAAGAGUGCGUAAUAGCUCACUAGUCGAGUGACCCUGCGCCGAAAAUGUACCGGGGCUAAAACAGUUUACCGAAGCUGUGGAUGACACAAAAGUGUCAUGGUAGGAGAGCGUUCUAUGUGUGAAGAAGGUGUACCGUGAGGAGCGCUGGAACGCAUAGAAGUGAGAAUGCCGGUAUGAGUAGCGAAAGACAGGUGAGAAUCCUGUCCACCGUAAGACUAAGGUUUCCAGGGGAAGGCUCGUCCGCCCUGGGUUAGUCGGGACCUAAGGAGAGACCGAAAGGUGUAUCCGAUGGCCAACAGGUUGAUAUUCCUGUACUAGAGUAUAUAGUGAUGGAGGGACGCAGUAGGCUAACUAAACCGGACGAUUGGAAGAGUCCGGCUAAGCAGUGAGGUGUAAGAUGAGUCAAAUGCUUAUCUUUAUAACAUUGAGCUGUGAUGGGGAGCGAAUUUUAGUAGCGAAGUUAGUGAUGUCACACUGCCAAGAAAAGCUUCUAGCGUUUAAUGAUACUCUACCCGUACCGCAAACCGACACAGGUAGUCGAGGCGAGUAGCCUCAGGUGAUCGAGAGAACUCUCGUUAAGGAACUCGGCAAAAUGACCCCGUAACUUCGGGAGAAGGGGUGCUGACUUAGGUCAGCCGCAGUGAAUAGGCCCAAGCAACUGUUUAUCAAAAACACAGCUCUCUGCUAAAUCGUAAGAUGAUGUAUAGGGGGUGACGCCUGCCCGGUGCUGGAA
rnacentral:rRNA from 1 species